rnacentral:rRNA from 1 species
ACACGACUACAUUAGAUACCCGCGUAGUCCCAGCCCUAAACGAUGCGCGUUAGGUGUAUCGGUGACCACGAGUCACCGAGGUGCCGAAGGGAAACCGUGAAACGUGCCGCCUGGGAAGUACGGCCGCAAGGCUGAAACUUAAAGGAAUUGGCGGGGGAGCACCACAACGGGUGGAGCUUGCGGUUUAAUUGGAUUCAACGCCGGAAAUCUUACCGGGACCGACAGCAACAUGAAGGCCAGGCUGAAGACUUUGCCGGAUUAGCUG